rnacentral:rRNA from 1 species
AGGAUGAACGCUGGCGGAGUGCCUAAUACAUGCAAGUCGAGCGGCAGCACGAGUAGUUUACUACUUGGUGGCGAGCGGCGGACGGCUGAGUAACGCGUGGGAACGUGCCCCAAAGUGAGGAAUAACUGCCCGAAAGGGUAGCUAAUGCCGCAUAUGAUCUUCGGAUUAAAGUAUUUAUUACGCUUUGGGAGCGGCCCGCGUCCGAUUAGGUUGUUGGUGAGGUAAAGGCUCACCAAGCCGACGAUCGGUAGCUGGUUUGAGAGGAUGACCAGCCAGACUGGAACUGAGACACGGUCCAGACUCCUACGGGAGCAGCAGUAAGGAAUCUUCCACAAUGGACGAAAGUCUGAUGGAGCAACUCCGCGUGCAGGAUGAAGGCCUUAGGGUUGUAAACUGCUUUUAUGAGUGAAGAAUAUGACGGUACUCAUGAAUAAGGGUCGCUAACUACGUGCCAGCAGCCGCGGUAA